GGAAAUCACCAGCCCCAUAGUCGAUUCAAUGCACACUAAGAGAUGAAGAUAACGAACAGUGAUCAAUCCCCAUAACCCCUGUAAGGAAUGCAGAAUAAAGAAUUGGGCAAACACGGCCCCUGGACAUACCAGAGGUGGGAUCAUACCAGGUGACUGAGAGGAGUGAGCAUCCGCUGCCGACCGGUCACAUGACCCGUGAACCCGAUAAGUAGUAUUUGGAUUUUGGAUCAUUAGACACUGCAGUAUUUGAUUCCUCCAGUGAUUAAGAAACAACAAAACACCCAAGGAUAUUGUCAUUCAAAAUCAUGUCACUUAAUUGAUUGUCUCUGUACAUGUAUCAAGUCAUGUGAUGAAUAGUAAAAUUUUACCGUUUUUUGUUCAUUCGAUCUGCAGACCGACAGAAACUGAAAUGGCUGGACCACAAAAUCUCUGGUACCAAAAAGAAAGGUCUUGUCACAAGGAAUGCAUAUAACAGUCUAACAUCAAAUGAAGUUUCUUGACAAAAUGUAUCCUUGUACAAAAUAUGAAAGCCCUACCUUAAAUUUAAGUUCAGGAGUUAUUGCCUACGUUAGAUUUUCUUAAAAGUAGGUCAAACUCAAAGAUCACAAGGUCAAAUACUUUGAAACCUAAAUAAAGUCUUGUCACAAGGAAUACACAUAUGAAACAUGAGAGCUGUAUCAUUCAC